UGGUGCUGUCAGGAGUUUAGGAUAGAAGCGGCUCUCAAAGAGGUGGGUUCGAGACCCUUCUUCGGUGUGAGGGUAUUCAGCAGCUGUGAGGGACACCGAGCUCAUUCCAUCACUGUGACACUGGACCCCUGUGAGUGGGACCGCCCAACGGCACAGGAUGGAGGAGCAUAGCACUUUUUUGUUGGCCUCACUGUAUGAUGUGCCAGACAUUCUUGGUCCCUCACGGCCCUUGAUGGCCCAUGGUGACUUUUGAGGACCUUUGGUGACUGCUACCACUUGUAUCACUCACUCGUGCAGUGAAACAAUGUCCAGAUGGGGCUGGGUUGAGACACUGAGCAGGUAAGUCCAGACUCAGCUCUCCUAACCGUGCUCCACACGUCUGGUCUCAGUGCGUCUUUCUCCCUCAGGGUCUCAAGUGUCACCGUCUCCUUGGCUGUGUGUGUGUGUGUGUGUGUGUGUGUGUGUGUGUGUGUGUGUGUGUGUGUGUGUCUUUCCCUCCCCAGGGGUUCGAAAGCUCAUGAGGAGAGAGAGCGGCGCAAUAAAAGGGAUGCAGAGAGGGCUUGGGACAGACGCACGGACGAAGGAAGCAGCAGCAGCACCAACGAAGGACAGCAACACGCAGCCAUGCCUGAGGCCAAGAAGGCAGUGUCCAAGAAAGACAAGAGUGCAGCGGCCCCUGCUGGUGAGUAGAGGACAUGACAGCCUGUGGUACACACACACACACACACACACACACACACGCACACACACACACGCACACACGCACACACACGCACGCGCACGCACACACACACACACACACGCGCACUGCAGUCAGAUGCCUCAAAGAAGAGCAGUUACUUAAGAUCAUUUUAUUGUCACUUCUCAUCAUUUUAAUGCUUUUCUUUGUUCUCUUGGCAGUAAAAAAACCUGAAGGUGAGUAAAGGCUGCUAGCAAUGCAGUGUGUGUUUAUACCUGUGUCUGUGUUUGAUUGCAGCUCUCUAGUGUAUGCAUAUAUGUUUGUCUAGAAAUAUAUACCAGCUCCUAUUACUUAACAAGUAUGACCUGUUGCUAAAAAGCUGCUUAUGAAGAGAAUUUUCAUGAAACUUACUAUUAAUUACCAUUCAUUUAAAUAGAGAAAAUAAAAAAAAUCAUAUGGUCCUGAUCCA
rnacentral:lncRNA from 1 species